GACGAACGCUGGCGGCGUGCUUAACACAUGCAAGUCGAACGGAAAGGCCCUGCUUUUGUGGGGUGCUCGAGUGGCGAAAGGGUGAGUAACACGUGAGUAACCUGCCCUUGACUUUGGGACAAUUCCAGGAAACUGGGGCUAAUACCGGAUAGGAGUUCCUCCUGCACGGAGGGGGUUGGAUAGUUUCGGCGGUUGGGGAUGGACUCGCGGCUAAUCAGCUUGUUGGUGGGGUAGUGGCUUACGAAGGCUUUGACGGGUAGCCGGCCUGCGAGGGUGACCGGCCACAUUGGGACUGAGAUACGGCCCAGACUCCUACGGGAGGCAGCAGUGGGGGAUAUUGCACAAUGGGCGGAAGCCUGAUGCAGCAGCGCCGCGUGCGGGAUGACGGCCUUCGGGUUGUAAACCGCUUUCGCCUGUGACGAAGCGUGAGUGACGGUAAUGGGUAAAGAAGCACCGGCUAACUACGUG
rnacentral:rRNA from 1 species